GGAUGCAAUCUGCCUGUGACAUCUGAUCACCAGGGUUGAUUUGAAGGAUCUGGCUGGCUAGACGGUGUCCCCUUCCUCACCGCUCCAUGUGCAUCCCACCUGAAGCUGCACUGUGCACUGUACACUUUGCUCUCUUGGGGGAAGAGGACCCCCCUUUCCCCUCCAGGAGGAACAUUUUCUCAGUCAAGGGUAUAUGAGCAGCUAUGCUCCCCUGCUAGAACCUCCAAACACGCUCUCAAAAGACUUACUUGUGGGCCGGGGACUUAGCUCAGUGAUGCCACACCUGCCUUGCAAGCCCAAGGU
ensembl:misc_RNA 7SK 7SK RNA